GGCAUCUACAAAAUCAACAAACAGCAAGAAAAAAGUAAUCUUUUAUUAAGGAUAAAAGUAAUAUUCAAAGCUUGACAGAGUAAAGAUUUGGCCACAUCUUCACACUAAGCUUUUUAAAAGAACAUGUUAAAUUUUAUGGGGAAAAGAAACCAUGUCUCAACAAACAGUUUGUAGUGGUGAUUAAAGUGUGACAGUAUAGUGGCUUAGUAUAUAGUAGUGAAUGCCAUGUGGGACAAUUAAGAAAAUUAGGGUCUAAAGUCAGCCUUAUAAAAAAUGUUAUCCAAAAGAUAAUUGACCUCAGCACCAAAAACUUUGGGGUUGUAGCUCAAAUAGUAGAGUAAUACUUUCUUAGCAAGUAUGAGACCAUAUGAGUUCAAACCGUCACCACUCUCCAGAAAUUAUAUAUUCAUAACUUUCCAAACAUAACCCUGUAGGUGUUGAAAAUGAUCCUGUAUAAAACAGUAUAUAUAAUUAAAAUUUUCAUAUAUGGGAUAGAAAAAAAUAGUAAAAGCAAAUGCUUCA